UUAAGUUCAGCGGGUAUCCCUACCUGAUCCGAGGUCAACCUUGAGAAGUUGGGGGUUCUGGCAAGUGUUUCUAGGGCUCAGAAGCGGAAUUAUUACUACGCUGAGAGCACUAUCGCACCGCCACUGAUUUUAAGGGAUGCCACAGCAAGCCCCAAGACCACUCUACGUGAUGGGUUAUAAUGACGCUCGAACAGGCAUGCCCCCCGGAAUACCAGAGGGCGCAAUGUGCGUUCAAAGAUUCGAUGAUUCACUGAAUUCUGCAAUUCACAUUACUUAUCGCAUUUCGCUGCGUUCUUCAUCGAUGCCAGAACCAAGAGAUCCGUUGUUGAAAGUUUUAAUAAUUAAAUUAUCUCAGACGCUGACUGCUAUUACAAAAAGGUUGAUAAAAUGUCCUAACGGGGGGCAAGCCCCCCGAGGAAACGUGUGGUACGCAUAGACAAAGGUAGAAAACGGUGUAAACCGAAAUCGAUAAUGAUCCUU
rnacentral:misc_RNA from 1 species